GUGAACCUUUACUAUAGCUUGACACUGAACAUUGAGCCUUGAUGUGUAGGAUAGGUGGGAGGCUUUGAAGUGUGGACGCCAGUCUGCAUGGAGCCGACCUUGAAAUACCACCCUUUAAUGUUUGAUGUUCUAACGUUGGCCCCUGAUCGGGGUUGCGGACAGUGUCUGGUGGGUAGUUUGACUGGGGCGGUCUCCUCCUAAAGAGUAACGGAGGAGCACGAAGGUUGGCUAAUCCUGGUCGGACAUCAGGAGGUUAGUGCAAUGGCAUAAGCCAGCUUGACUGCGAGCGUGACGGCGCGAGCAGGUGCGAAAGCAGGUCAUAGUGAUCCGGUGGUUCUGAAUGGAAGGGCCAUCGCUCAACGGAUAAAAGGUACUCCGGGGAUAACAGGCUGAUACCGCCCAAGAGUUCAUAUCGACGGCGGUGUUUGGCACCUCGAUGUCGGCUCAUCACAUCCUGGGGCUGAAGUAGGUCCCAAGGGUAUGGCUGUUCGCCAUUUAAAGUGGUACGCGAGCUGGGUUUAGAACGUCGUGAGACAGUUCGGUCCCUAUCUGCCGUGGGCGCUGGAGAACUGAGGGGGGCUGCUCCUAGUACGAGAGGACCGGAGUGGACGCAUCACUGGUGUUCGGGUUGUCAUGCCAAUGGCACUGCCCGGUAGCUAAAUGCGGAAGAGAUAAGUGCUGAAAGCAUCUAAGCACGAAACUUGCCCCGAGAUGAGUUCUCCCUGACCCUUUAAGGGUCCUGAAGGAACGUUGAAGACGACGACGUUGAUAGGCCGGGUGUGUAAGCGCAGCGAUGCGUUGAGCUAACCGGUACUAAUGAACCGUGAGGCUUAACCUUACAACGCCGAAG
rnacentral:rRNA from 1 species